rnacentral:rRNA from 1 species
UGCAGUCGAGGGGCAUCAGUUUGGUUUGCUUGCAAACCAAAGCUGGCGACCGGCGCACGGGUGAGUAACACGUAUCCAACCUGCCUCAUACUCGGGGAUAGCCUUUCGAAAGAAAGAUUAAUAUCCGAUAGCAUAUAUUUCCCGCAUGGGUUUUAUAUUAAAGAAAUUCGGUAUGAGAUGGGGAUGCGUUCCAUUAGUUUGUUGGGGGGGUAACGGCCCACCAAGACUACGAUGGAUAGGGGUUCUGAGAGGAAGGUCCCCCACAUUGGAACUGAGACACGGUCCAAACUCCUACGGGAGGCAGCAGUGAGGAAUAUUGGUCAAUGGACGCGAGUCUGAACCAGCCAAGUAGCGUGAAGGAUGACUGCCCUAUGGGUUGUAAACUUCUUUUAUAUGGGAAUAAAGUUGUCCACGUGUGGAUUUUUGUAUGUACCAUAUGAAUAAGGAUCGGCUAACUCCGUGCCAGCAGCCGCGGUAAUACGGAGGAUCCGAGCGUUAUUCGGAUUUAUUGGGUUUAAAGGGAGCGUAGGCGGAUUGUUAAGUCAGUUGUGAAAGUUUGCGGCUCAACCGUAAAAUUGCAGUUGAUACUGGCAGUCUUGAGUGCAGUAGAGGUGGGCGGAAUUCGUGGUGUAGCGGUGAAAUGCUUAGAUAUCACGAAGAACUCCGAUUGCGAAGGCAGCUCACUGG